rnacentral:rRNA from 1 species
CCUACGGGUGGCAGCAGUGAGGAAUAUUGGUCAAUGGACGCGAGCCUGAACCAGCCAAGUAGCGUGAAGGAUGAAUGCUCUAUGGGUCGUAAACCUCUUUUAUAUGGGAAUAAAGUUUAGGAUGUGUCCUGUUUUGUAUGUACCUUAUGAAUAAGGAUCGGCUAACUCCGUGCCAGCAGCCGCGGUAAUACGGAGGAUCCGAGCGUUAUCCGGAUUUAUUGGGUUUAAAGGGUGCGUAGGCGGCCGUUUAAGUCAGCUGUGAAAGUCUGUGGCUCAACCAUAGAAUUGCAGUUGAUACUGGGGGGCUUGAGUGUGUCUGAGGUAGGCGGAAUGCGUGGUGUAGCGGUGAAAUGCUUAGAUAUCACGAAGAACCCCGAUUGCGAAGGCAGCUUGCCAGGCCAUGACUGACGCUGAUGCACGAAAGCGUGGGGAUCAAACAGGAUUAGAUACCCGGGUAGUC